AAAAUCCUUAAAUGAGGAAUGAUCAGCUUAUUAGCUAAUCCGCUGUUUAGGCUUAAUAAGCCGUUGAUAAGAACCAUGAUUUAUAAACGUUUAUUAGGGGCUUCUUAACUAAUAAGUAGAUUAGACGCGUUAUGUUGGCAUCUUGGCACAUCAUAGACAAAAAUAUGGCUGAACAUUAAAUUAAAAAAAAGUUUGACAGCAACACUAGCGGUAAAUCGUAAAAUCCUGAACAAUACGAUGUACAAUUUUGAUCAGUUUUCUGGGUUAUUAUAUAUUAAAAUAGCCUCUGCAUCACAAAAAACAUAUGAAUAAUAUUGCACGGCUGGAAAUUUUACAAAACUUGUUUCAAUAUAUUGUGAGGUAAAGAGGACGGAGUCAAGAAUUGGAGAAAUCACAGCAAGAAAUCACCGCAAGCCCGCCUGCGCGCCAUCGCCACCGUGAUACCACGGAUUCCAACACAUUUUGUUCUGGUGGCGAAACACGAACGAUAUUGACACUAUUCAUAUCAAAUGAUCGUUGAAGAUAAAUCAGGUUGUGAGUAUUCCAUCAUCAGCUAUUGUCCGGAGCUGGCUACACAAUCCGGUGGCCACACUGUUCUGGCAUCUAACCAGCCAGCAAAUGAAGUUGGUUGUACUGAAAUAAAGAAAAAAAUAUUAACUAGUUUGAUGAUUGUAAAAUGUAAUAAAAUUGUUUUAUUUAAGUGGGUUGUUUAAUUUCCCUAAAUUAACACAUGCAAUAUGUUGAUAUGUUAUAAUAAAAAUAUCAGUUUAAAAUACAUGAACUUGUUUUAUUUAUCUAUCACAAUGUCAAAAAUUAACUCUGCUCAGUGUGGACUUCAACACAGAAAUCAGCAUUCAGUGCAGUGGCAGCGUUAAAAGUGCAUAGAAAUCCAA